AUCCAGCUGACGAGUCCCGAAUAGGACUAAAUGAGGAUCCUGGAU
rnacentral:hammerhead_ribozyme from 1 species